AAGGAUCAUUAUUGAAUGAA
rnacentral:rRNA from 1 species